rnacentral:rRNA from 1 species
CAGUCGCCGCGGGAAUACGAACCGUGCGAACGUUAUUCGGAAUUACUGGGCUUAAAGCGCGUGUAGGCGGCUCGGCACGUCGGACGUUGAAAGCCCCCGGCUCAACCGGGGAAGUGGCGCCGAUACGGCCGAGCUGGAGGGAGGUAGGGGGGUCUGGAACUUCCGGUGGAGCGGUGAAAUGCGUUGAGAUCGGAAGAACACCAGUGGCGAAGGCGACUGACUGGACAAGUAUUGACGCUGAGGUGCGAAAGCGUGGGGAGCAAACAGGAUUAGAUACCCCUGUAGUCCCUGUCUCUUAUAC